rnacentral:rRNA from 1 species
AUGGCAGACGGGUGAGUAACGCGUGGGGAACCUACCUCUUUGUGGGGAAUAACGUUCCGAAAGGAAUGGUAAUACCGCAUGAGACCAUGGACUGGGAUGUUCAUGGUGAAACCCGGGGACCGAAAGGCCUGGGGCAAGGAGAGGGUCCUGCGUCUGAUUAGCUAGUUGGCGGGGUAACGGCCCACCAAGGCGUCGAUCAGUAGCCGGCCUGAGAGGGUGAUCGGCCACACUGGAACUGAGACACGGUCCAGACUCCUACGGGAGGCAGCAGUGGGGAAUUUUGCGCAAUGGGCGAGAGCCUGACGCAGCAACGCCGCGUGGGUGAUGAAGGUCUUCGGAUCGUAAAACCCUGUCGUCAGGGACGAAGGUCACGAGUUUAAGAGAUGCGUGACUUGACGGUACCUGGAGAGGAAGCCCCGGCUAACUCUGUGCCAGCAGCCGCGGUAAUACAGAGGGGGCAAGCGUUAUUCGGAAUUAUUGGGCGUAAAGGGCGCGUAGGCGGUGUCUUAAGUGAGACGUGUAAUCCCCGAGCUUAACUUGGGAACUGCAUCUCAGACUGGGGCGCUAGAGUACUGGAGAGAGUGGUAGAAUUCCACGUGUAGCGGUGAAAUGCGUAGAGAUGUGGAGGAAUACCAGUGGCGAAGGCGGCCACCUGGACAGUAACUGACGCUGAGGCGCGAAAGUGUGGGGAGCAAACAGGAUUAGAUACCCUGGUAGUCCACGCUGUAAACGAUGAACACUUGGUGUGGCGGGAGUUGACCCCUGCCGUGCCGGAGCUAACGCGAUAAGUGUUCCGCCUGGGGAGUACGGUCGCAAGGCUGAAACUCAAAGGAAUUGACGGGGGCCCGCACAAGCGGUGGAGCAUGUGGUUUAAUUCGACGCAACGCGAAGAACCUUACCUGGGCUUGAA